GAUCAAUCGUCUUUCCCCAAUAAUCAUCCUUCUUUCCCCAACUACGUUUUCUCAUCCUUAUUCAAAUCCCCAUUACAAUUCCUCAAUCUAAAUCUUGUCCAAUCAUUACACUCUGGUACUUGAAAUUAGAGUUUUGACUUUGUAUGCCCAAUUUGCGAUCCUGUUAAAAUUCUGAUUACGGUUCCUAAAGGAAUUUUGUAGCCAUUAUCAAGUUUAUAAAUAUGUCAGCCGCAAUUCGAUCGAAAAGAAAAUAUGCACCAUUGCGAGUCUAGCGACAAGUAUCGAGAUCAAUCUGUGGCAGCUGGUCGGUGGUGCCAUCGCUGGCGGCGGAAGGGCUCUAGGGCGGUGGUAAAUGGGGGCUACAAACUAAUACACGAUAUUAAGAUAGUAAGAAAGAGUUGAAGUGAUGAAUUAAUUUAAACUUUAAUAUAAUUUGGAGGCUAUACAAUAUAGGGUAAAAUAGUAAUCUUUUAAUUAAUUAUUAAUAAUAUUUUUAAAAUGGGCUGUAAGGAGUAAAAUGGGAGCUAUGAAUAGAAUCACCC